rnacentral:rRNA from 1 species
UUAGAGGAAGUAAAAGUCGUAACAAGGUUUCCGUAGGUGAACCUGCGGAAGGAUCAUUAUUGAUUUCAAAUGAGAUGUGCUGGCCUUUUCAAAGGGCAACGUGCACUUUCAACCUUUACAUCCACCUGUGCACCUUUCGUAGACAAUAGGGAUUGACGUCUCUGUCUAUGUUUUUUAAUACACAUGAUUUAUUAUGGAUUGUAGUGUGGCUUUUUCAAGCCAAUAAAGCUAUACAACUUUCAACAAUGGAUCUCUUGGUUCUCGCAUCGAUGAAGAACGCAGCGAAUUGCGAUAUGUAAUGUGAAUUGCAGAAUUCAGUGAAUCAUCGAAUCUUUGAACGCACAUUGCACCCUCAGGUCUUUUCCAGAGGGUAUGCCUGUUUGAGUGUCGUUGACCCAUCAAUGCAGACAAGUCUCUUUUUGAUUUGCUUUCUGUACUUGGAGGUUGAAGGCUGCCGGCGUCAUGGCCAGCUCCUUUUAAAUUUAUUAGCGGGACUUUGAAGACUCGGCUUCAGUUUGAUAAAUGCAUCUAUGCUGUCGCCGAAGAACGUUUGUCUAGCUUAUAGCUGUCCUUAUAGGACUGUCUCUUAUCGAGGCACAAUGCAAUCAACUCUUGACCUCAAAUCAGGUAGGACUACCCGCUGAACUUAAGCAUAUCAAUAA